rnacentral:lncRNA from 1 species
GGGUACAUUAAUGAGCAACGCCGGGAGCAGCACAAGGAAAUGGGUCCGUUUGCAGCAUAAAAAUAAAGCUCGACAUCUACGACAAACACUUGACUGGACUUGACCCGAACCACGAUAUGGUGAAGAGAUGGGUCAUUAAGGUGGUGGGGGCGGAAGGCAAGUGAUUGGCUUCUUGUUUUCCUAUGAGAUGUCCACUCCAGC